UCACCGUAUCAAGCUUGGCUUGUGGUUGGGCCCUGUCACCUGGUGACCGGUCCGAAAGACAAUGACCGGUGUCAUGUCGACUCUAUAUGCAACGAGCUGAUCACAGCACGCAUCUGGCAGUCGCGCGGCCCGGUCUGCACCCCCUUUUUUCUCAA
rnacentral:misc_RNA from 1 species